AUAGCGUAUAUUAAAGUUGCUGCGGUUAAAAAGCUCGUAGUUGGAUUUUGGGUCCAGCCCCGGUGGGCCGGUGAAAGCCGUGAACUGCUAGGAUGGACCUUCUGUCUGGAGGCGGGGCGCUUCCUAUUCACUUAGUGGCGCCCGCGCGUCUAGGACCUUUACUUUGAACAAAUUGGAGUGUUUAAAGCAGGCAAACGUCUUGAACACAUUAGCAUGGAAUAACAUAAUAGGGCUUUGGUUCUAUUUUGUUGGUUUUAAGGACCGAAGUAAUGAUCAAUAGGGACAGUUGGGGGCAUUCGUAUUUAAUUGUCAGAGGUGAAAUUCUUAGAUUUAUGAAAGACGAACUUCUG
rnacentral:rRNA from 1 species